rnacentral:rRNA from 1 species
GAUGAACGCUGGCGGCGUGCCUAAUACAUGCAAGUAGAACGCUGAAGGAGGAGCUUGCUCUUCUGGAUGAGUUGCGAACGGGUGAGUAACGCGUAGGUAACCUGCCUGGUAGCGGGGGAUAACUAUUGGAAACGAUAGCUAAUACCGCAUGACAACAGUUAUUGCAUGAUAACUGUUUAAAAGGGGCAACUGCUCCACUACCAGAUGGACCUGCGUUGUAUUAGCUAGUUGGUGAGGUAACGGCUCACCAAGGCGACGAUACAUAGCCGACCGGAGAGGGGGAUCGGCCACACUGGGACUGAGACACGGCCCAGACUCCUACGGGAGGCAGCAGUAGGGAAUCUUCGGCAAUGGACGGAAGUCUGACCGAGCAACGCCGCGUGAGUGAAGAAGGUUUUCGGAUCGUAAAGCUCUGUUGUAAGAGAAGAACGGGUGUGAGAGUGGAAAGUUCACACUGUGACGGUAUCUUACCAGAAAGGGACGGCUAACUACGUG